UUGCUACAGGCUUGCAAGAAAGCGACAAUAUGCUGAACUGGUCGAUGAGUUCGUGCUUUGUAAUCCUUUUCCGAGAGCUUAGUGGAUAUACAGCCUCUGCAUACAAAGUAUAUACAUAAAGGUUACUUGUAUAUCUACUGUUGUAGGUUUCUCGAUUGUCGUCUCGGAGUUGCCCUAUCGAAGGUUGGCGUUUGGAACUUGUUUCAUCACCGGAAACCAGAUAAUUCGCGACGCACGCAAACAAGUGUUUCUAAUGUAACCGAUAUCACUAUCCAAUGUAUAUAUUCAUGCCUCCAUGCUUCUCGUUUGACAACGUGUACCGUAUUGCAACCGUGCAUUGCUCCAAGACUUCGAUCGCUCGCAUGAAGUCAACUUGUGGACGGAGCGACUCGCACCGAAGCGUAGACGACUAGAGGUCUCGAUAUCGUCCGUAUCGUCUUGUGCAUACGCUCAUGUCGAAAAUUCAGUGAAUCACUCCCGUUGAGUGAUAGUCGAUUCCGUUCGAACAAUGAGCGCUCUGCGCGUUAUGGCGACAGACAGAACGGGCGUCGAUGACAGCUGCAGCAGCAUGAUAUCUGUCAUGGGAUAUGCUGCCAGAGGCUCCCGUCUCUUCUAUUUACAUCGCAAUAGGACCUUGAACUCGGGUGUCAGGCAUCACAGCGAUCGCUCCCAUUUGAGCAUGCGUCAUCGCCUUGCAUGACGGUAUUGCUGGCGAAAAAGGAAUCACUGGGACCCCGGCAUCGUCUGAGUAUCCGGAUCCAGCGACGCGUGACGGAUUCGAUGACGUGGAGACGAUUAAGCGACGACUCGGUUGCCAGUCUGCACGGGAUGAAGGAGUUUUUCAUGAAUGGAGCUUCGGCAAGGCCCAGCGGCUCGAAUGAUAGCGAGCGCUUGAUGAGCCUCCAUCGUAGAUUCUUCGAAAGCGUACACGCUGCGUAGAAAAUCGACCAGCUGCUUACGAGCAACACGUCUGCGAAAGCGAUGGUGCCGAGUUGUCUGGAGCGGUGCUCCGGAGCCCCUGGCGCGUCGAGACAUUCGACUUUUCCGAACGCAUCUUUCCCUCGAACUUAUCAGCGUCUCGAUUCGCGCCUAUUUCGUUUCGUUGGGGACGGGCGCCCGCACGACAGCGCGAGUCCGAUACGACCGAUGGAGAGCAAAUGCGUCGAAGAAGCAGACGAGGAACUAAUCGAAGACAUCGAGUGUAUGAAGCGAACGAAGCACUUUUCGCUCUGACAUUCGAUGCCACUUAUGGAUCACUGGGGGAACAAAGCCCCACGGAAUGCAAUGCAAACUGCGUAUUAGAAGUGAAAAUUAAGCCAUAGGAGUUUCGUAUGAAGGCGAGUAGACCAAGUGACUUCCUUCAAGAUCGAUGGCGUUGGCGUAUCCAUCGUCAUCAACAGUGAUUGACGUAAACGCAAAACGAGCUCUUCAGGGCUCAAACAUACA